rnacentral:rRNA from 1 species
UUUUGCUCGUUGGCUCUCAGGACGAACGCUGGGCGGCGUGCUAUAACACAUGCAAGUCGAGCGAUGAAGUCUUCCUUCGGGAAGUGGAUUAGCGGCGGACGGGUGAGUAACACGUGGGUAACCUGCCUCAAAGUGGGGGAUAGCCUUCCGAAAGGAAGAUUAAUACCGCAUAACAUAAGAGAAUCGCAUGAUUUUUUUAUCAAAGAUUUAUUGCUUUGAGAUGGACCCGCGGCGCAUUAGCUAGUUGGUAAGGUAACGGCUUACCAAGGCAACGAUGCGUAGCCGACCUGAGAGGGUGAUCGGCCACAUUGGAACUGAGACACGGUCCAGACUCCUACGGGAGGCAGCAGUGGGGAAUAUUGCGCAAUGGGGGAAACCCUGACGCAGCAACGCCGCGUGGGUGAUGAAGGUCUUCGGAUUGUAAAGCCCUGUUUUCUGGGACGAUAAUGACGGUACCAGAGGAGGAAGCCACGGCUAACUACGUGCCAGCAGCCGCGGUAAUACGUAGGUGGCGAGCGUUGUCCGGAUUUACUGGGCGUAAAGGGUGCGUAGGCGGAUGUUUAAGUGGGAUGUGAAAUCCCCGGGCUUAACCUGGGGGCUGCAUUCCAAACUGGAUAUCUAGAGUGCAGGAGAGGAAAGCGGAAUUCCUAGUGUAGCGGUGAAAUGCGUAGAGAUUAGGAAGAACACCUUUCUGCAGGCGGCCACGUGCGUAGUGAUCAGCAAGCACACCAGCGACGAUGGCGUUUUUGUGCACUGUAACUGCCGCUCAGGCAAGAAAGCGUGGGUAGCCAACAGGAUUAGACCCCCUGGUACUCCACGCCGUAAACGAUGGAUACUAGGUGUAGGGGGUAUCAACUCCCCUUGUGCCGCAGUUAACACAAUAAGUAUCCCGCCUGGGGAGUACGGUCGCAAGAUUAAAACUCAAAGGAAUUGACGGGGGCCCGCACAAGCAGCGGAGCAUGUGGUUUAAUUCGAAGCAACGCGAAGAACCUUACCUGGACUUGACAUCCCUUGCAUAGCCUAGAGAUAGGUGAAGCCCUUCGGGGCAAGGAGACAGGUGGUGCAUGGUUGUCGUCAGCUCGUGUCGUGAGAUGUUAGGUUAAGUCCUGCAACGAGCGCAACCCUUGUUAUUAGUUGCUACCAUUAAGUUGAGCACUCUAAUGAGACUGCCUGGGUAACCAGGAGGAAGGUGGGGAUGACGUCAAAUCAUCAUGCCCCUUAUGUCCAGGGCUACACACGUGCUACAAUGGUAGGUACAAUAAGACGCAAGACCGUGAGGUGGAGCAAAACUUAUAAAACCUAUCUCAGUUCGGAUUGUAGGCUGCAACUCGCCUACAUGAAGCUGGAGUUGCUAGUAAUCGCGAAUCAGAAUGUCGCGGUGAAUACGUUCCCGGGCCUUGUACACACCGCCCGUCACACCAUGAGAGCUGGUAACACCCGAAGUCCGUGAGGUAACCGUAAGGAGCCAGCGGCCGAA